rnacentral:rRNA from 1 species
UGGGGAAUAUUGGACAAUGGGGGCAACCCUGAUCCAGCGAUGCCGUGUGUGUGAAGAAGGCCUGCGGGUUGUAAAGCACUUUAGUUGGGGAGGAAAGGUAUUUGUUUAAGAGAUGAGUACUAUGACGUUACCCAAAGAAUAAGCACCGGCAAACUCUGUGCCAGCAGCCGCGGUAAUACAGAGGGUGCGAGCGUUAAUCGGAUUUACUGGGCGUAAAGGGCGUGUAGGUGGGUAGAUGAGUCAGAUGUGAAAGUCCCGAGCUUAACUUGGGGAUUGCAUUUGAUACUGUCUGCCUAGAGUGGAGUAGAGGAUAGUGGAAUUUCCGGUGUAGCGGUGAAAUGCGUAGAUAUCGGGAAGAACACCAGUGGCGAAGGCGACUAUCUGGACUUUAACUGACACUGAGGCGCGAAAGCGUGGGGAGCGAACAGGAUUAGAUACCCCCGUAGUCC